rfam:Glycine soja cultivar W05 scaffold3442_10, whole genome shotgun sequence.
GGGUGCAUUACAGGGCAAGUUCUCUUUGGCAGGUAUCAAGAAGCUAUUAAUGCUAUACAAGUGUACGUGUGCAACCUGCCAAAGGAGAUUUGCCCAGCAAUUCUCCU